UCCCUAUCUGCCGUGGGCGUAAGAAGAUUGAGGAGAGUUGGCCCUAGUACGAGAGGACCGGGUCGAACUGGCCACUGGGGUACCAGUUGUUCUGCCAAGAGCAUCGCUGGGUAGCUAAGCCGGGAUGUGAUAAGAGCUGAAAGCAUCUAAGCUCGAAGCCAACUCCAAGAUGAAUCUUCUUUUAAGAGCUCUAGUAGACUACUAG
rnacentral:rRNA from 1 species